UGCAAGUAAUUUAACAGUAGAGAUCUUUGUCUCCUGUUAGGGAUAUAAAAUGUGGUGUUAUAUACUGCUCCGGUGGAAACGAAUAUCCUAUUGACUAUGACAGCAAAUAUACAAUUGAUUCUUGCAAGGCUGCCCUGCACCCAUCUGGAAUCAUGGUACAGAAUGGAACAAGGUGUGGAGAGGAGAAGGUCUGCUACAUGGGAGCGUGCAGAAGCAAAGAAGCUGUAUAUGAGUCCCUGGCCUGUAAUGCUGAGUGCCCUGGUCAAGUGACGUGUAACAAGGUGGGAGAGUGUUAUUGUAAAGAAGAGCAACCCAAUCCCAAAUGUGCCAUCUCUGGUGUCUAGAAAAGUAAAAAAAAAGUGAUGCCCAAUGAACUGGCGACAACUCCAUGGAGCUUUACAGAUGUGCUGGAAACUAGAAGAAAAUAAUGAAAAUCACAUGAAACAAACACAGAAUAUUUCCUUUUCCCUUGCAUCCCCCCACUUCUCUCUAUACUAGCUUAUUUGAUGUCUUUUCUAUCUCCUGAUGACUAUUAUACUAUAAGCAGUCUUUUCUUUAUACAUCGGCGGUAAACACUGAAUACUGUUAAAUUGUACUGCAUAGAAAUAAUCAGUUGGCAUCUACAGACUGAAUGUAUUAGAGAUAUGAGUAAUUCUGACUGCACCCCUCACUUCCUCUAUAUGUAUCUGAUUGUUACUAUUUGCCUGUACUCUUCCUUCAAUCAUCAGCUGUAUUCUACUGCAUGUUGUGCAUUACUAUGCUUAUUACCUUCAAUAAAAAUGAUUGCAACACAAAA